GGCAGGGUAGCUCAGCGGUAGAGCACGAAAACGUUUCUCUAACCCUGGUUGUCCGCACCCCGACAAAUGCCGAAGGAAUUACAUUCCCGGGUCGCUAAUGUGCAGGUUCGAAUCCUGCUCCUGCCU
rnacentral:tRNA from 1 species